CCUGAGGUGUUUACAUGCUGCAUAGCGACUGUGAUGUUGCCGUUCUUGAGCUGAGCAUAGAGCCCAGGGCUUAGAGCCUGUGGGCUGCCUGACAGCACGGUUCCUCAUCCCAGGUCAAUAUGGCCUUGUCUGUUUCACAUUAUACGGUCCUCCGUGUUUGUUAUCCAUGAGAUCACUGUGCCCCAGAGGGUGAUGAAAUCUUCAUGUCAUGUAACUUUGGUGCAUGAUGGAGCAGAUAUUUGCAUGGUGGACUGCUUUUCCUAGGACUGUGCUUUCGCUGUUUAGCACCGACCUAGGAUAAGAUCUGAUUGGAAAUGUGACGGGAUGAGAAGACAUGGAUAAAAGGUAGCCCUGGUACCUGGUGUUUAUCUGCUGGGCAGUAAAUGUUGGAUCUGGCCGUCACUUGAGGAGGCACUGGGGAGGAGAGGUGGGGUGAACCAGGCCGGGAGAGUGCUUGCUGUCAGAAAGAUGAUCUCUAGCACGGAAGGUGCAUAUUGACAGAUAAUAUAUAUUGAAAUAUGAUUGUGAUGUGCUUAAUGCUUUUGUGUUCAUUGGUCCCAUACGCCAGCCUGGACUGACAAGUGCCCGUGUAUCAACAAGGGACAGUUGAACAGUGAUAGUGUUUUUUCAGGAAAUAUCUUUCAGUUGUUUUUUUGUUGUUGUUUGUUUGUUUGUUUGAAGAGUGAACAAUUGUAUGUUUGACCCAGUGUUCCCUGACAUUCAGCUGUGAGAUCCCGGAGCUUUUGGACAGAAAAGCUUGUGGCCAAGGCUCAUGGGUGGCUCUGCUGCCCCCAAGUGGUGUGGGAACCUGGGAGAAUCUCCCUAUCUCCAUGAACCACAGUGUCUUCAUCAGGAAGAUAAAGUCCUUCCAAUACUCGAAAUUCCUCUCCUGCUGAGUUUUUUUGUUUUUGUUUUUUCUUUCCCUGCAUGCCUGUGGGUCCGAGAUGCAUGUUGCAUGUGCCCUGGGAACUGCAGCCAAGUCUUGACUUUGGUCCCUUGUCUGUGCUUUUCCUGCAGGAGCCUGAACUGAGUCCACACACUGAACUCACAGACCUGCAGGGGGAGAUGGAAGAAAGAAAAUCAACAGGUUUUGAGGAUGAGAAGAACCCAAGUAAUGGCAGAGGAGGUGCUGUGCAAGAGAGAUUGCUGCAGUGGCAUCCAGGACUGUCAGUGGAAGUGGGGAAUGACAUGACACCACCUUUCGGACACCCAACUGGCAAGAGGUGCAUCUGCCUCGGAGACACAGCGCCUAUCUCCAGAUGAUAAUUUGUUCAGCAAUAUUCAUACCUCUUUUAUGCAUAAUCAUCAAAAAUAUAUGUCUUUGUCAUCAGAAAAAUGGAUAAUCAAUUGUGCUAUACUCCUAAAACAGACUCUCUUAGCAUAAGAAUAAAACCAAAUGACUGAUGCA
rnacentral:lncRNA from 1 species